AUUCUGACUGUGCGAAGGUAGCAUAAUAAAUUGUCUUUUAAAUGGAGGCUUGAAUGAMAGGUUGGACAAAGUGUCAUCUGUUUCUUAAAUAUUUAUUGAAUUUGACUUUCAAGUGAAAAGGCUUGAAUAAAUUAAAAAGACGAUAAGACCCUAUAAAUCUUUACAAUAAACAUGUUUUAUAUUUUAAUUUAUAAGUUUAUAAAAUAUUAAAUUUGUAGUUGUUCCGCUGGGGCGGCGUGGAUAUAUUAAUAAACUGUCUAUAUAUUAAACUCAAUAAUCAUUGAUUAAUAAGAUUGAUCCUUAAAUAGAUUAAAAGAUUAAGAUACUUUAGGGAUAACAGCGUUAUUUUUUUUGAGAGUUCCWAUCGAAGAAAAAGUUUGCGACCUCGAUGUUGAAUUAAAGUAUCUUUAUGGUGCAGCCGCUAUAAGAGAG
rnacentral:rRNA from 1 species